GGUUGAACGCUGGCGGCAUGCCUUACACAUGCAAGUCGAACGGCGAGCGACGGGGGCAACCCUGGUGGCGAGUGGCGAACGGGUGAGUAAUGCAUCGGAACGUGCCCCGUAGCGGGGGAUAACCAGUCGAAAGACUGGCUAAUACCGCAUACGCUCCACGGAGGAAAGCAGGGGAUCGCAAGACCCUUUGGCACUAUGGGAGCGGCCGAUGCCCGAUUAGCUAGUUGGUGAGGAAGGCUCACCAAGGCGACGAUCGGUAGCUGGUUUGAGAGAACGACCAGCCACACUGGGACUGAGACACGGCCCAGACUCCUACGGGAGGCAGCAGUGGGGAAUUUUGGACAAUGGGCGCAAGCCUGAUCCAGCCAUGCCGCGUGCGGGA
rnacentral:rRNA from 1 species